UUCAGUUUAAUGACUCAGCUUUGGAGCAAAGAACGAAACAUAUUGAGUGAAAGUGUUGUGAAAGCAGAGUUACAGGUGCGUUGACUUUUAUGAAUACGUCAAAAAGUGCCCAGUUACUGAAAACAGCAAGGAACAAACUGAAGUACAGAUUUAAGAAGGAACUGUCAGCAAAGGCCCUCUGCUAUAGGAGACCCAACUUCUUCUAUAAGUGUUCCGGCUGCUACAAAGAAAUGAAGCCCUUAUCAUACCUUCUCCAGAAUCUACUGUGGAAGACCUCAAUAGUACCCUAAAACAUUUGAAAAUGUAGUAAUUCUACCAGCUGAAAAUAAGAGGAAGCACAGAACAGUCUCUAAGCUGGGACCCGAGGACAGAAGCAAUACAAAAGAAAAUCUUGAGCGACACAUCAUACGACUACCAGUAACACGAUCCGGAGCUGUAGAGCAAGCCAGCAUUAACCCGGACGUCAAUUUUCACCCCUGCAUUUCACGGAGUACUGUAAAUCACAUCACUACCACCUAAUUUCACUCACUGUCUUGUGUUUUUGUUUAGUGUUGGUGUGUGUAAAACCUGGAAUUUUUGGUUGUGGGUCAAACCCUGGGAUUACAAUUAUGAGUGAUACAUGCCGCUGUAUCACUCCAACAUUUAUUAUUUACUGGUGUUUGCUUUCGGGCUCUGGACAUUUGCAUUCAUU